rnacentral:rRNA from 1 species
CGCUAAACUACCUAGAGUGGCGAACGGGUGAGUAACACGUAGAUAAUCUACCUUUGGAUGGGGGAUAGUCCAUGGAAACAUGGAGUAAUACCGCAUGAGGCAUAACUGUUAUGGUUAUGUGAAAAGUGCCCUUAAAGCACUGUCUGGAGAUGAGUCUGCGGUUCAUUAGCUAGUUGGUAAGGUAAAGGCUUACCAAGGCAACGAUGGAUAGCCGGCCUGAGAGGGUGAACGGCCACACUGGGACUGAGACACGGCCCAGACUCCUACGGGAGGCAGCAGCUAAGAAUCUUCCGCAAUGGGCGAAAGCCUGACGGAGCGACGCCGCGUGAAUGAUGAAGGCCGAAAGGUUGUAAAGUUCUUUUCUUAGUGAAGAAUAAAUUAAUCAGGAAAUGGGAUAAAGAUGACAUUAGCUAAGGAAUAAGCCCCGGCCAAUUACGUGCCAGCAGCCGCGGUAAUACGUAAGGGGCAAGCGUUGUUCGGAAUUAUUGGGCGUAAAGGGCGCGCAGGCGGUUUUAUAAGCUUGGUGUAAAAGGUUUUGGCUUAACCAAGAUUUAGCACUAAGAACUGUAAGACUAGAGUUUAAGAUGGGGAGCUGGAAUUCCUGGUGUAGGGGUGAAAUCUGUAGAUAUCAGGAAGAACACCGGUGGCGAAGGCGAGCUUCUAGCUAUAAACUGACGCUGAGGCGCGAAAGCGUGGGGAGCGAACAGGAUUAGAUACCCUGGUAGUCCACGCUGUAAACGAUGUGCACUAGGUGUAGGGAUUUAAUAACCUCUGUGCCGAAGCUAACGCAUUAAGUGCACCGCCUGGGGAGUAUGCUCGCAAGGGUGAAACUCAAAGGAAUUGACGGGGGCCCGCACAAGCGGUGGAGCAUGUGGUUUAAUUCGAUAUACGCGAGGAACCUUACCAGGGUUUGAUAUGUGCAUGGAGGCUUAAGAGAUUAGGCUGACUCUUUUAGAGACGUGUACACAGGUGCUGCAUGGUUGUCGUCAGCUCGUGUCGUGAGAUGUUGGGUUAAGUCCCGCAACGAGCGCAACCCCUGCUGUCUGUUACUAUCAGGCUAUUAGUGCUGAGGACUCAGACGGUACUGCCGGUAACGAACCGGAGGAAGGUGGGGACGACGUCAAAUCAUCAUGGCCCUUAUGUCCUGGGCUACACACGUGCUACAAUGGCCAGUACAAAGUGUUGCGAUACGGCGACGUUGAGCUAAUCGCAAAAAGUUGGUCACAGUUCGGAUUGGAGUCUGAAACCCGACUCCAUGAAGCUGGAAUCGCUAGUAAUCGUGCAUCAGAAUGGCACGGUGAAUACGUUCCCGGGCCUUGUACACACCGCCCGUCACACCACCCGAGUUGGGGGUACCCGAAGUCGCUAGUCUAACUCUUUAAGAAGACGGCGCCGAAGGUAUGUCUAGUAAGGGGGGUGAAGUCGUAACAAGGUA